rnacentral:sRNA from 1 species
ACGAAAGCCUCUCUACUUAGCACUCUUUAUAGAGGAGUUCUACCACGCAUCAGAAUGCUUCUGGAUACCGCUGGCAAUGGGAAUUUCCAGAACAAAGAUGUUGAAGAAGGCUGGGAAUUGGUUGAGAACCUUGCUCAAUCAGAUGGUAAUUACAACGAGGACUGCGAUAGGACCGUCAGAAGCACAGCAGACUCUGAUGACAAACACAGGAAGGAGAUCAAAGCGCUGAAUGACAAGCUGGACAUGAUUCUUCUUAGCCAGCAGAAGCAUGUGCACUUCUUUGUUGAUAACGAGCAGUAUCAAGUCCAAGAUGGGGAGGGUAACCUGUUGGAAGAAGUCAGCUACGUCAACAACAACCAGAGUGGCUACAAAGGAUACAAUAACUUCAAAACCAACAAACACAACCUCUCCUACCGUAGCACCAACGUUGCUAAUCCUCAGGAUCAGGUGUAUCCUCCACAGCAACAACAAGGUCAGAACAAACCUUUUGUUCCCUACAACCAAGGUUUUGUUCCAAAGCAGCAAUUUCAGGGGAAUUACCAGCCGCAACCACCA